rnacentral:rRNA from 1 species
GACGAACGCUGGCGGCGUGCUUAACACAUGCAAGUCGAACGGAAAGGCCCUGCUUUUGUGGGGUGCUCGAGUUGCGAACGGGUGAGUAACACGUGAGUAACCUGCCCUUGACUUUGGGAUAACUUCAGGAAACUUGGGCUAAUACCGGAUAGGAGCUCCUGCUGCAUGGUGGGGGUUGGAAAGUUUCGGCGGUUGGGGAUGGACUCGCGGCUUAUCAGCUUGUUGGUGGGGUAGUGGCUUACCAAGGCUUUGACGGGUAGCCGUCCUGAGAGGGUGACCGGACACAUUGGGACUGAGAUACGGCCCAGACUCCUACGGGAGGCAGCAGUGGGGAAUAUUGCACAAUGGGCGGAAGCCUGAUGCAGCAACGCCGCGUGCGGGAUGACGGCCUUCGGGUUGUAAACCGAUUUCGCCUGUGACGAAGCGUGAGUGACGGUAAUGGGUAAAGAAGCACCGGCUAACUACGUG